GUCUAUGGCCAUUUCACCCUGAACAUGCCUGAUCUUGUCUGAUCUCAGAAGCUAAGCAGGGUCGGGCCUGGCUAGUACUUCGAUGGGAGACCACCUAGCAAGACCAGGUGCUAUAGGCG
rnacentral:rRNA from 1 species